ACGCACGCUGGCGGCAUGCCUCACCCCUGCCAGUCGCACGAGACCUUCGGGUCUAGUGGCGCACGGGUGCGUAACGCGUGGGAACCUGCCCUUAGGUUCGGAAUAACUCCCCGAAAGGGGUGCUAAUACCGGAUAAUGUCUUCGGACCAAAGAUUUAUCGCCUUUGGAUGGGCCCGCGUUGGAUUAGCUAGUUGGUAGGGUAAAAGCCUACCAAGGCGACGAUCCAUAGCUGGUCUGAGAGGAUGAUCAGCCACACUGGGACUGAGACACGGCCCAGACUCCUACGGGAGGCAGCAGUGGGGAAUAUUGGACAAUGGGCGAAAGCCUGAUCCAGCAAUGCCGCGUGAGUGAUGAAGGCCUUAGGGUUGUAAAGCUCUUUUACCCGGGAUGAUAAUGACAGUACCGGGAGAAUAAGCGCCGGCUAACUCCGUG
rnacentral:rRNA from 1 species